AAGAAGAUUAAGAAACAAAGCAUCGUUUCUCAAUAAACCUCUCUCUCUCAGUCUCUCUCUCCCUCCUUCCCUGUUCGACAAUAAGCAAGAAUGGUGAAGGCGGCAGAGAAGCAGCCUGGGGCAGUAACAAAGAUAUUUUGGGACAUCAAGAAGUGUCCCGUUCCAACUGGCUUCGAUCCUCGUUUGGUCGGUCCAUGUAUUAAACGGUUUUUGGAGAAAUUAGGCUACUCUGGUCCUCUUAGUAUCUGGGCUACAUCUCCGAUUAAGUCCUUUGAGCGGUCUCUUCCACUGGAAUCAUUCUUCAAGCCACCCCCUUUGGUUCUCGUAACCUACUGACGCUUAUCCCUUGUUGGACCCGUGAGAAUCCACCUCCAGCUAAUAUAAUGCUCAUAUCCGAUCCCACAAAGGACA